UACGUAGGGACCAAGCGUUGUUCGGAUUUACUGGGCGUAAAGGGCGCGUAGGCGGCGCGGUAAGUCACUUGUGAAAUCUCUGAGCUUAACUCAGAACGGCCAAGUGAUACUGCAGUGCUAGAGUGUGGAAGGGGCAAUCGGAAUUCUUGGUGUAGCGGUGAAAUGCGUAGAUAUCAAGAGGAACACCUGAGGCGAAGGCGGGUUGCUAGGCUGACACUGACGCUGAGGCGCGAAAGCCAGGGGAGCAAACGGG
rnacentral:rRNA from 1 species